UACGGAGGGUGCAAGCGUUAAUCGGAAUUACUGGGCGUAAAGCGUGCGUAGGCGGUUCGUUAAGUCUGUUGUGAAAGCCCCGGGCUCAACCUGGGAAUGGCAAUGGAUACUGGCGAGCUAGAGUGUGUCAGAGGAUGGUGGAAUUCCCGGUGUAGCGGGUGAAAUGCGUAGAGAUCGGGAGGAACAUCAGUGGCGAAGGCGGCCAUCUGGGACAACACUGACGCUGAGGCACGAAAGCGUGGGGAGCAAACAGG
rnacentral:rRNA from 1 species